AUGAGCCCCCAAUUCCUCCCGCUGGUUUUGGAGGCGAAACAGCCUCCAAAUCUUCCCGGUGUGCCUCACCCAUGUGCUGUGCACCACCUGGGUGCCCAGGACCCCGGUGCAGCCUUUGGGGCGCGAUACGGGGCAGCGCCGAGACCCCCCCUGGGAACAAAACACCACCAUUGGGGCCGAUCCGGCCGCUCAUCGCUGCCGGGCGGGAUCGUUAGCUGGUGUGCUAACGAAGCAGUUUCCAUGGAAACAGGCCCGGUUUCGGCUCAGGCGCCUUGCAGUUUAUUUAUUUAUUUCAUUCGCUGGCGCGCCUCCGAGCCGCGGGCUGCUUUUCAGCAGAUUGGGCGCCGCGGGAGGCGUCGGCAGGAAAACCCGCGUUGGAGAAGGGGAAUAAAUCCCGGGUGGGAUGGGGGGCUGUGGCCACAGGUGCUGGUGAGGGGUGUGAGAGGAGCUCAGGGGCUCCGAGCUGGCUCGUUAUCCCCGUGCCGAAGGAAACGAGGGGCCACGAGCACUUUGGGCAUGCCGGGGCUCCUUUCCCAGCCCCGUCUGCUGCUCAGCUCAGCGAGGCUGCCCCGGCUUCCGCCCCCUGGAAACAUGCUCUUUGCUAUUUUCUUUCCGUCUGUAGUAUUUUUAUUUUUUUUUUUGGCUUUAUCUGUAUAUUUAGUCGUUAUUUUUCAAGCGAGCGGCCUAUCUUUAGAGACGGCUCUUAGCACAAGCACCGGGAUGGCUUCAAAACGCAUCCGCUCCCCCUGGGUGGUGCCGAUGGGCUCCGUUAUUCCCCUCUGUGGGGUUUGGGGUGGGAUGUGCAGGCGAUGCCUGCCCAGCAGGAACCACUCCGAGCCCUUUUCCCCCAAAUCCUGGCUGUCCCCAGUGGGGUUUGCCCGCUGUGCAGCUCCCCGGGCGGACGUUUUUUCAGGUACACCCCCAGGCUGGGAGGCUCCUGCUCGCACAUCGGAAACGUGCUGGGUGGGGGACGCCAGGGCUGCCGAGCUGCUUUUGGUCCUCGAGGCGGAGGAAGCACGAGGGUUCGCUCGAGCAGAUGUCAGAGCUUUCGGUUUCCUUCCCGCAGAGCCACCCAGCCCGGCUGCUGCUUUUCCUUUCGGUUCUCCAGGAGCGGUAGCGGGGGAGAGCGAUUUUCUUCAAAGCAGGCAAAAAGCACCCGGGACUUGGAAGAAAAAAAUAAAUCCAGGGAAUGGGAGGGUCAGAGAGGAUGUGAUCCGUGGGUUUUAA
rnacentral:lncRNA from 1 species